rnacentral:rRNA from 2 species
GUUGCCUAAUACAUGCAAGUCGAACGAACUCUGGUAUUGAUUGGUGCUUGCAUCAUGAUUUACAUUUGAGUGAGUGGCGAACUGGUGAGUAACACGUGGGAAACCUGCCCAGAAGCGGGGGAUAACACCUGGAAACAGAUGCUAAUACCGCAUAACAACUUGGACCGCAUGGUCCGAGUUUGAAAGAUGGCUUCGGCUAUCACUUUUGGAUGGUCCCGCGGCGUAUUAGCUAGAUGGUGGGGUAACGGCUCACCAUGGCAAUGAUACGUAGCCGACCUGAGAGGGUAAUCGGCCACAUUGGGACUGAGACACGGCCCAAACUCCUACGGGAGGCAGCAGUAGGGAAUCUUCCACAAUGGACGAAAGUCUGAUGGAGCAACGCCGCGUGAGUGAAGAAGGGUUUCGGCUCGUAAAACUCUGUUGUUAAAGAAGAACAUAUCUGAGAGUAACUGUUCAGGUAUUGACGGUAUUUAACCAGAAAGCCACGGCUAACUACGUGCCAGCAGCCGCGGUAAUACGUAGGUGGCAAGCGUUGUCCGGAUUUAUUGGGCGUAAAGCGAGCGCAGGCGGUUUUUUAAGUCUGAUGUGAAAGCCUUCGGCUCAACCGAAGAAGUGCAUCGGAAACUGGGAAACUUGAGUGCAGAAGAGGACAGUGGAACUCCAUGUGUAGCGGUGAAAUGCGUAGAUAUAUGGAAGAACACCAGUGGCGAAGGCGGCUGUCUGGUCUGUAACUGACGCUGAGGCUCGAAAGUAUGGGUAGCAAACAGGAUUAGAUACCCUGGUAGUCCAUACCGUAAACGAUGAAUGCUAAGUGUUGGAGGGUUUCCGCCCUUCAGUGCUGCAGCUAACGCAUUAAGCAUUCCGCCUGGGGAGUACGGCCGCAAGGCUGAAACUCAAAGGAAUUGACGGGGGCCCGCACAAGCGGUGGAGCAUGUGGUUUAAUUCGAAGCUACGCGAAGAACCUUACCAGGUCUUGACAUACUAUGCAAAUCUAAGAGAUUAGACGUUCCCUUCGGGGACAUGGAUACAGGUGGUGCAUGGUUGUCGUCAGCUCGUGUCGUGAGAUGUUGGGUUAAGUCCCGCAACGAGCGCAACCCUUAUUAUCAGUUGCCAGCAUUAAGUUGGGCACUCUGGUGAGACUGCCGGUGACAAACCGGAGGAAGGUGGGGAUGACGUCAAAUCAUCAUGCCCCUUAUGACCUGGGCUACACACGUGCUACAAUGGAUGGUACAACGAGUUGCGAACUCGCGAGAGUAAGCUAAUCUCUUAAAGCCAUUCUCAGUUCGGAUUGUAGGCUGCAACUCGCCUACAUGAAGUCGGAAUCGCUAGUAAUCGCGGAUCAGCAUGCCGCGGUGAAUACGUUCCCGGGCCUUGUACACACCGCCCGUCACACCAUGAGAGUUUGUAACACCCAAAGUCGGUGGGGUAACCUUUUAGGAACCAGCCGCCUU